GGGUCAGUAGGUUGGUCGUGCCACCGGUACGUACUGGUCUCACUGAUGCCUCCUUCCUGACGAACCGUAAUGCCAUUAAGUUGGUGUUGCGGGGAAACAGGACUUUUACUUUGAAAAAAUUAGAGUGUUUAAAGCAAGCUAACGCUUGAAUACAUUAGCAUGGAAUAAUGAAAUAGGACGAUCGAUCCUAUUUUGUUGGUUUCUAGGAUUGACGUA
rnacentral:rRNA from 1 species